rnacentral:rRNA from 1 species
CCUACGGGGGGCAGCAGUAGGGAAUAUUGCUCAAUGGGGGAAACCCUGAAGCAGCAACGCCGCGUGGAGGAUGAAGGUUUUCGGAUUGUAAACUCCUUUUGUUAGAGAAGAGAAGGACGGUAGCUAACGAAUAAGCACCGGCCAACUCCGUGCCAGCAGCCGCGGUAAGACGGAGGAGGCGAGCGUUAUCCGGAUUUAUUGGGUUCAAAGGGUGCGCAGGCGGUCUGUUAAGGCAGCGGCCAAAGCCCGGGGCGCACCCCCGGCCCGCCGUUGAAACUGGCAGUCUCGAGUUGGAGAGAAGUAUGCGGCAUGCGCGGUGUAGCGGUGACAUGCAUCGCUAUCGCGCAGAACUCCGAUUGCGAAGGCAGCAUGCCGGCUCCACACUGACGCUGAGGCACGAAAGCGUGGGUAUCGACCAGGAUUAGAUACCCCUGUAGUC